AUUGAACGCUGGCGGCAGGCCUAACACAUGCAAGUCGAGCGGAUGAAGGGAGCUUGCUCCUGGAUUCAGCGGCGGACGGGUGAGUAAUGCCUAGGAAUCUGCCUGGUAGUGGGGGAUAAAUUCCGGAAACGGGCGCUAAUACCGCAUACGUCCUGAGGGAGAAAGUGGGGGAUCUUCGGACCUCACGCUAUCAGAUGAGCCUAGGUCGGAUUAGCUAGUUGGUGGGGUAAAGGCCUACCAAGGCGACGAUCCGUAACUGGUCUGAGAGGAUGAUCAGUCACAAUGGAACUGGGACACGGUCCAGAGUAAUACGGGAGGCAGCAGUGGGGAAUAUUGGACAAUAGGCGAAGGCCUGAUACAGCCAUGCAGCGUGUGUGAAGAAGGUCUUCGGAUUGUAAAGCACUUUAAGUUGGGAGGAAGGGCAGUAAGUUAAUACCUUGCUGUUUUGACGUUACCAACAGAAUAAGCACCGGCUAACUUCGUG
rnacentral:rRNA from 1 species